rnacentral:rRNA from 1 species
CAGCAGCCACGGGAAUACGUAGGGUGCAAGCGUUAAUCGGAAUUACUGGGCGUAAAGCGUGCGCAGGCGGUUUUGUAAGUCUGUCGUGAAAUCCCCGGGCUCAACCUGGGAAUGGCGAUGGAGACUGCAAGGCUAGAAUCUGGCAGAGGGGGGUAGAAUUCCACGUGUAGCAGUGAAAUGCGUAGAUAUGUGGAGGAACACCGAUGGCGAAGGCAGCCCCCUGGGCUAAGAUUGACGCUCAUGCACGAAAGCGUGGGGAGCAAACAGGAUUAGAUACCCCCGUAGUCCCUGUCUCUUAUAC